GCCCGCUGCUGCCGCUCGCGGUGCCGGGGAGCUCGAGCCGGCAGCUCCGCUUCGCAGCGGCUGCGCCGACAGACGGGCGGGCCGAGCUGCGGCCGCCGCGCUGCGCUGAGGGGGCUCCGGGGGCCGCGCGCUCGCGCUGUUCCCUCAGCAUCCCGCGGUGCCGCCCCGCUGUGAUACCGACACGGCGCGGGCAGUGCGGCACUCGGGGGAGCUGCAGCAGCGCACCUGGUGAGAAGGGAAGGGGCUGAAGCACCAGUUAAUUCAUCAGCCCACCCCCACAGCAGACACCACUACAGCAGCGGUCAGUCUCACCCUGAAGGCUGCGGGCACGGGAAGCAAGGACUGUCACUACAUUAACCACGGGUCUGUGCUCAGACAGGUGGGAAAACCAAAUAGGACAGACAGCAGACACUGCCCCCAGAGCCUUCUCUUCAGUUACAGCCUGGAUAUGUUCUUGAUCUCCAUAAGAGGAGCUGUGUUACUUCUGUGGUAGCAGAAGUUGCAUGUGGCCCUAAACGUCAGAGCAGUAUGCUCUGUGAUUCCUUUUAGGAAGCUAUUUCCAUGAACACAAAAAACAACACUGCUACAACUAAAGGAAAAUUCCAGAGAAAGAACCAGCUGCCUGCAACACACUCAGCACACUAUAAAACAAGAGCCUGUAGGGCUUGGGUGAAAGGUGGGGGGGGACACAUCCAUAAUGCAAACAGACCCUGAGCCACUAUUUCUGUAUCAUGGGACCCCUUACCACUGGGAGAGGAUCACAACUACAACAUAGAACAGCAGUACUGAGACACUGAGGCAAAAAAUUCUGAUGCUGGAGGAAAACAAGGGCAAUGUAAAAUAUAACGCUUUAUUAAAAACCAGUGUUCCAUUUACCUCGCUGAUAACAGAGAAAACACCUUAUUCAAUAAUUAAUAUGGUUAUUAUUUUAUUCAUAAGACUGACCUUUAAAAGUUAGAGAAAAACAAAAUUAAGCCCGGUGCUACAAGAAAAUGGCUUGAUUGCAGAACAUCAGUUUAAACAAUCACAUUUACUAUCCUCCAGAUACAAAAUGUAGAAAUCCAAAGUGCUCUAUUGUUAUGAAACUAAGCUUCAACAUCCCUCUGAAGUAGGGGAGAGUCUUACCCCCUUUUAUUACAGAUGAGAAAAAAUUCACGUACAGUAAAACUGACUUAGUGUCUGUCACUAAGUUUGUGGCAAAGCUGAAGACAGAGGUCACGUUCCCUCAUCUCUUAACAGGACUUCAGUUGCCCUAACAGAAUGCACAAUGUGAAAUCUGGCCAUAAAGAUUUAACAUCAAAGAUUGUCACAGGUCAUAAUCUAAAUUACACUUCAUCAGGAUUUGAGAGUGAAUUCUGUCUGAAAA